rnacentral:rRNA from 1 species
GAAGUAGAUUGUCUAGAGCUUGUGUCGCUAUGGAGUACUCGCCACUUUUCUCGUUCUAUUGUGGCGCCAAUCUUGUUAAAAAUAGGAGAACUCAUUAGUAGUUUCACUUCUUUUGAUAUUCAACAUGUAAGUAGGUCAGCUAAUGUGCCGGCGUAUCUUUGUGCAAAACAUGCAUGCACCUUGAAUGUGACCGAAACUUGGCUGGCUGAGACCCCUAGCUUCCUUGUGACCAGCCUUCUGAAUAAAACUCUCUGA